rnacentral:lncRNA from 1 species
GGCGCUCUGACUGCCCCAACUCCCCUAGCUCUAUGCUUCGAUCCCCCUCCUCGUUAAGAAGGGGGGAACAAAUACACAAGGUCAAUCUGCAUUGGAAACAGUUGGUUUCGACCAAAAUGUGCCACAACCAGAGCACUAGGGCAGAGAAAUUCUUGAACAGAAAGAAUAAGAUGCAAUGAUGCAACAGUGUAGAGAAGAGGCGGCAAGAAAAUGUGAUUUAUCACCAAUGCAUAGCGGAAAAACAAGAAGUUGCGUACAAGGGAUAAAAGUUGGGACGGCAGUGUAAACGAAGAUGCAAACAUAACGAGACUCCCAAUGAGAAAUGCAAAACAAAAACAAAUCACUCAAACUACAUCCACAAAGUCCAAUCGCUCGAAGAAAAAAUUAUGAAUUUUGAAGACAUUUUGAAAAGAGUUGUGGACGAAGUCAAGAAUCUACAAAUUGAAGAUUUCACAAGUUUAGAGAAAAGAGAGCACCAUGGUGGUUUCUUCAUUUUUUUUU